AUACGAGACAACGAGGUUCAGUGUCAAAAGAAAGAGAAGAAGAAUUGAGAACUAAGUUCACAGCACAUGCUUAUCAAUGAAUGUAUUCUGAUAACUCUCUACAUGCUAGCAUGCAGAAUUGUAGCUAAGAAACAGCGUUAAUGAAGUACACGAGGGUCAGGUCCUGAGGCACUUUUUAAGAAAAGACCAUAACAAUAACACCUCAAAACUCAAAACCCUAAGAGGCAAGGAUACGGACACGGGAACCAAUAGCGGUGUCGCAAUUUGAAAAACAAACCUAAAAGGUACAUGUCACAAAUAAGAGUUGCAUAUUUUGUUAAACCCAAACUGGUGCCGACUUUAUUAUCAAGGCAUUGCAAAUGACACAAAGAUAUAACUGAGGCACGCUUUGCCUGUAAAACCAUGUACAGGAUGUUUACUUGUAUUGUGCAACCUAGUAAAUUCCAGUUUCCAAAACACAUGAUGUUGACGUAAAUAGUGAUCUUCCAAAAUUUGAACUUCUAUUCUGUAACGUUCAAGCAUCAAAGCAAGUAAAAUACAAGAAUACCACCCAUUGAACAUUGGAUAAUAUAGUAACCCAAAACAAGUAGAAGAACAAGAAGGUCUUCAUCACAUGGGAGACGUGCAUGAAAAACUGAUCAUGGUAUCUCCUUGCUCCUAGAUCACUAGGGACAACCAUGCGUAACACUAGACACAGAAACAAGGAAUACCAUAUUGGAAACUUGUUCACCAACAAAAUAACUGGCAAUUAGGAACCAUGAACAGAAAACCAAGUGUUGGCCCAGC